rnacentral:rRNA from 1 species
GGGUUGUGAGGUUAAGCGACUAAGCGUACACGGUGGAUGCCCUGGCAGUCAGAGGCGAUGAAGGGCGUGCUAAUCUGCGAUAAGCGCCGGUAAGGUGAUAUGAACCGUUAUAACCGGCGAUACCCGAAUGGGGAAACCCAGUGUGACUCGUCACACUAUCAUUAACUGAAUCCAUAGGUUAAUGAGGCGAACCGGGGGAACUGAAACAUCUAAGUACCCCGAGGAAAAGAAAUCAACCGAGAUUCCCCCAGUAGCGGCGAGCGAACGGGGAGGAGCCCAGAGCCUGAAUCAGCAUGUGUGUUAGUGGAAGCGUCUGGAAAGUCGCGCGAUACAGGGUGACAGCCCCGUACACAAAAGCGCAUGUGUUGUGAGCUCGAUGAGUAGGGCGGGACACGUGGUAUCCUGUCUGAAUAUGGGGGGACCAUCCUCCAAGGCUAAAUACUCCUGACUGACCGAUAGUGAACCAGUACCGUGAGGGAAAGGCGAAAAGAACCCCGGCGAGGGGAGUGAAAAAGAACCUGAAACCGUGUACGUACAAGCAGUGGGAGCCCCACCACCAAAGCAUUCUCUGGUGUUGAAGGCCCUGCAAAGCAGCAUCGCGGUGGCGGAGCGUCGUUUGCGACGCCCAACACAAAAAACAAGCGGUGAGUGCUUUGGGGUGGGGUGACUGCGUACCUUUUGUAUAAUGGGUCAGCGACUUAUAUUCUGUAGCAAGGUUAACCGAAUAGGGGAGCCGUAGGGAAACCGAGUCUUAACUGGGCGUUAAGUUGCAGGGUAUAGACCCGAAACCCGGUGAUCUAGCCAUGGGCAGGUUGAAGGUUGGGUAACACUAACUGGAGGACCGAACCGACUAAUGUUGAAAAAUUAGCGGAUGACCUGUGGCUGGGGGUGAAAGGCCAAUCAAACCGGGAGAUAGCUGGUUCUCCCCGAAAGCUAUUUAGGUAGCGCCUCGUGAAUUCAUCUCCGGGGGUAGAGCACUGUUUCGGCUAGGGGGCCAUCCCGGCUUACCAACCCGAUGCAAACUGCGAAUACCGGAGAAUGUUAUCACGGGAGACACAC